AUUGAACGCUGGCGGCAGGCCUAACACAUGCAAGUCGAACGAGCGGCGGACGGGUGAGUAAUGUCUGGGAAACUCCCUGAUGGAGGGGGAUAACUACUGGAAACGGUAGCUAAUACCGCAUACCAUCGGUUGUCCCCAUAUGGGAUUAGCUAGUAGUGGGGGUAAUGGCUCACCUAGGCGACGAUCCCUAGCUGGUCUGAGAGGAUGACCAGCCAGACUGGAACUGAGACACGGUACAGACUCCUACGGGAGGCAGCAGUGGGGAAUAUUGCACAAUGGGCGCAAGCCUGAUGCAGCCAUGCCGCGUGUAUGAAGAAGGCCUUCGGGUUGUAAAGUACUUUCAGCGAGGAGGCGUUACCCGCAGAAGAAGCACCGGCUAACUCCGUGCCAGCAGCCGCGGUAAUAC
rnacentral:rRNA from 1 species